CCUAUUUACUAUACACAUGCAUAACGAAUAGUUUAUUUCAGCGGCGUAUUUUUAAUGCUAUAUCCACAAAGGACCACUGAUACAGAAAAUGCUUUUCCUGUUGUGAUCUCACUGCCAAAGCUCAUUGAUAUUUGUACUUUACGUUUUUGAGAUUUAUUAGUAUAUAUCCUUGGUAAAUGUAUCUUUUUGGCAAACAUGUUGAAUUAAGGCUAUGUUUACAUUGUAUCGGAUCAGUUUUUGUUUCGUUCGCGAAAAGUUACGGCCCAAGUGUAAACAGCUUCCGCCCCGCCCAUCUAUGCUGUCGUAUUUUCUUCUAUAUAUUAUUAGAAUAGUAAGUUGUUGUUUGCCAGAUUCCAUCUUGAGUCACGCAUUGAACCAAAAUUGCUCGGAUUGGUGUUUACAUUGCAAUGAUAGCGUUGCAAAAACCAAUCCGAUACAUCGCGCACCACUUCGAAGAGCGAACCGCCGCACCACCGGUUCGUUGCAGAAAUUGAGGCGAUAACAACAGUUCAUAUGUAAACAGAAGCCCUGUCCGGUAUGGUUUU